CUGUGUGCCAAAGCGAGAUGCCCUGUCUUCUCUCUCUAGAUUUUGGACAGCAAACCGCCGCGCGUGUAGAGGUGUGUGCGUGUGACGAAAAACGAUGGACGAAAAACGCGAGGAGCGGGGUCUGAAGUCUUUCGUUGGUCACACAUACAUGCAUUUACCAGCGGAUUGCGCUACACCGUGUCUACCCAUCUUUUUCGAUCUAUCAUGAUCUUUUCUGCUAUCGCACUCAUCCGGGUGUUAGGCAUUCUCAGUCUGUCCAGAACUUUCGUUGUGGAAGGAUGUGCGGGAGUGAUGUGCGAUUUCUUGUGUCCCCUACUUUCCAUGUUUACGUUUUGCGCAGUGUUGCUUCUUAUUCCAUUGUGGAAUGAUUUAUCCUAGCUAACUUGUUGAGUUACAGGUGCAUGCGCCAUUCAUCAGCGCCUACGUGUUGGCAUCAUCAACAAUCUUCAAAGUGGGUGACGGAAAGAAAUUAUUUUCCAGUUUUAAAAUAUUAAGCGUUCAGCACAACUCAGCCACAAAACAACGCACUGGAUUACGCUAAGAACCUGUCAAAACGCGCGCCGCCCCUGGGCGCGGUAGGAGAAAGGAAGAACGAGAGGAGGAAAAACUAAAGCCAGCGCGCAGCUCUGAUGGUACCCCGGACGCAGUAAGGAGAAAAAAGAUCGAGAGGAGGAAGAACGGUAAAUUUGGAAGGGGGAGACCGUUCUGCCGUCUACACAGUGUGAGUAUGCCAAAGCACGUGUUGGAACGGAGAGAAAAUGUGUGGAAUAAACUGCAUGCGAAUGUGUGCAUAGACCAA